rnacentral:rRNA from 1 species
CACUCUCGUUUAGAUUGAAGGAGCUUGCUCCUGAUUGAUAAACAUUUGAGUGAGUGGCGGACGGGUGAGUAACACGUGGGUAACCUGCCCUAAAGUGGGGGAUAACAUUUGGAAACAGAUGCUAAUACCGCAUAAAACCUAACACCGCAUGGUGUAGGGUUGAAAGAUGGUUUCGGCUAUCACUUUAGGAUGGACCCGCGGUGCAUUAGUUAGUUGGUGAGGUAAAGGCUCACCAAGACCGUGAUGCAUAGCCGACCUGAGAGGGUAAUCGGCCACACUGGGACUGAGACACGGCCCAGACUCCUACGGGAGGCAGCAGUAGGGAAUCUUCCACAAUGGACGAAAGUCUGAUGGAGCAACGCCGCGUGAGUGAAGAAGGUUUUCGGAUCGUAAAACUCUGUUGUUGGAGAAGAAUGUAUCUGAUAGUAACUGAUCAGGUAGUGACGGUAUCCAACCAGAAAGCCACGGCUAACUACGUGCCAGCAGCCG